AUUGAACGCUGGCGGCAGGCCUAACACAUGCAAGUCGAGCGGUAGAGAGGUGCUUGCAUCUCUUGAGAGCGGCGGACGGGUGAGUAAUGCCUAGGAAUCUGCCUAGUGGUGGGGGAUAACGUUCGGAAACGGACGCUAAUACCGCAUACGUCCUACGGGAGAAAGCGGGGGGAUCUUCGGACCUCGCGCCAUUAGAUGAGCCUAGGUCGGAUUAGCUAGUUGGUGAGGUAAUGGCUCACCAAGGCGACGAUCCGUAACUGGUCUGAGAGGAUGAUCAGUCACACUGGAACUGAGACACGGUCCAGACUCCUACGGGAGGCAGCAGUGGGGAAUAUUGGACAAUGGGCGAAAGCCUGAUCCAGCCAUGCCGCGUGUGUGAAGAAGGUCUUCGGAUUGUAAAGCACUUUCAGCGAGGAGGAAGGGUUGUGUGUUAAUAGCACAUAGCCUUGACGUUACUCGCAGAAGAAG
rnacentral:rRNA from 1 species